AUCUUGCAGAGGCAUGGGCUGGCUGAAGAGCCAGGCUCCCUGCAUCCCGCACGGAUAUGGCUCAUUGGUACCCUGCUCGUCCCUGCCAGCCCAGGAUGUGGAAAGAGACAUGGGAGAAACCCUCCUGACUCCCUGUUCCCUAUCCUACCUCUGACCCAGGAUACACAGAACCACUGCCCUCUGCUCCUUCCCACUGUUCUGGGAGCUCUCUCCUCUGCGAGGCUUUCCUGGAACCUGAUUGGCGAAGACCGUUUCUCCUGAGCUCUUUUCUCUGAGACAUCACCAUAGAUGGCUAUGAGUCAAGUGCCCCCAUCAACCAUUCCUGCUCUGCCUGGGGGCUUGGAGUCCCUUCUGAUGGACGAAUGGGUAUUGACUCAACUGGCUUUGUAUGCUGGGCACCACUUUGCAAACAGCUUACAGGAUGGACUGCAGUCCUCACAACGAUCUUCAAAGCCAUCGGGCCUCAGUCACAGGCUUCUUGCUCUAAGUGUUUGAAACAAAGAGCAACUGCGUCUGCGCGCCAUUGGUGGAGAUGGACUUUGUACAAGCGCCGGAGUGAAAUGAAAAAUGAAUGGGGAGCAUCAUAACUUCGGGUUUCCAGUCUGCCAC
rnacentral:lncRNA from 1 species